rnacentral:rRNA from 1 species
UGAGUAACCUGCCCUUAACUCUGGGAUAAGCCUGGGAAACUGGGUCUAAUACCGGAUAUGACUCCUCAUCGCAUGGUGGGGGGUGGAAAGCUUUUUGUGGUUUUGGAUGGACUCGCGGCCUAUCAGCUUGUUGGUGAGGUAAUGGCUCACCAAGGCGACGACGGGUAGCCGGCCUGAGAGGGCGACCGGCCACACUGGGACUGAGACACGGCCCAGACUCCUACGGGAGGCAG